rnacentral:rRNA from 1 species
GACGUAGGGUGCGAGCGUUUGUCCGGAUUUAUUGGGCGUAAAGAGCUCGUAGGCGGCUCGUCGCGUCAGCUGUGAAAACCCGCAGCUUAACUGUGGGCUUGCAGCUGAUACGGGCGGGCUAGAGUUCGGUAGGGGAGACUGGAAUUCCUGGUGUAGCGGUGAAAUGCGCAGAUAUCAGGAGGAACACCGGUGGCGAAGGCGGGUCUCUGGGCCGAUACUGACGCUGAGGAGCGAAAGCGUGGGGAGCGAACAGG